GGCCUCGCGUCCUAACUCCCGGGAUCCUAACUGCCCGAGGCUGAAGGCAAAGCUCUGAGCAGCGCCGUGCGGGGCCUGAAGAGGGCGGAACCGCGCGGCUGCAGUCAACUGACUGCGUUUCCCUGGCAACGGCUCGUUCUCAGCUACAGCGCAGCGGUCCCAGGGGAGCGGCGGGCGGAGCGAGAGGCUCCAGCCAUGAAUCCGCCGGGGUCCAUGGGGGUGCUGGAGCAUAAAGCGGACGAACCCUUACUCACCCCGAUUCACGGGCCCUCGGUCCAUUCUGACGACCCGCAGGAGCGGAUCCAGGCCCGGCGCCUCCGCAUCGCCGCGCGCGUGGAAGCCAAGAGGCGGGAAGCGCUCGGAGAAUAUUUAGACGGGAAGGAGAGUGAAGAAGAUCAGAGCAAGAGCUACAAACAGAGAGAAGAGAGCAGGCUGAAAUUGGCUAAACUGCUGCUCUACGGCACUGAAUUGGUCACAAAUAUCCGGGUGGCUGUAGAUGUCAGGGAGAUCCAUAGGAGAGUGGAAGAGGAGGAGAUAAAGCGGCAGAGAAUCGAGAAGCUGGAGAACGAAGUCAAGACCAGCCAGGACAAAUUUGAUGAAAUCACUGCCAAGUGGAAAGAGGGCAGACAGAAGCGGAUUCCCCAGGAGCUGUGGGACAUGCUCACUACUCAGCAGCUGCACUGUGCUGGGCUGAUAGAAGACAAGAACAAGCUCAUCAGUGAAUUGCAGCAGGAGUUAAAAAUCAAGGAUGACCAGUAUGUGAAGGACUUGAAGAAACAGGCAGAUGACAUCUCCCUGCUUCUGGAGAGGAUGGAGGAGCAAGUGAAGAGCAUGACGAAAGCCUUCCGCCAGGAGCUCCUUCACAUCGAGAAAGCCUUUGAGGCGGAACGACAGGAGCUGCUGACCAGCAACAAGAAGAAAUGGGAGUGGGUGCUGCAGGCUCACAGCACCAAGGAGCUGGAGUACCUUGUCAACCGCAUGAAGAGAGUGGAGGAAUACGAGCAGCAGCUGAACAAGCAGCGGAUCUGGGACUGUGAAGAGUACAUCAUCAUCAAGAUCAAGCUGGAGCAGGAUGUGCAGAUUCUUGAGCAGCAGCUUCAGCAGAUGAAAGCAACGUACCAACUAAACCAAGAGAAGUUAGAGUACAACUUGCAGGUGCUGAAGAAGAGAGAUGAGGAAAACACAGUGAUUAAAUCCCAGCAGAAGAGGAAGAUCAAUCGCCUGCAUGAUAUCCUUAACAACCUGAGAUCAAAAUACACCAAGCAGAUACAGCAGUUUCAGGAAGAGAAUCAGUCUCUGACUGCAGAUUACAAACGUCUCAUGAUGCAGUUCAAGGAGCUCCAGAAAUCCAUGAGGCAUUUUGCUCUCAUUGACAACGAGAAGUUUCGGGAGAUUUGGCUGAUGAAUGAAGAGGAGGCGAAGGGACUCAUAGCCAAAGCCUUCGAUGUGGACAGGAUCAUCCACACCCAGCAUCUGGGGCUCCCCUGGACAGCACCCAACUUCUGGUUCCUGAACAAUGUGGGGCCCAUUUCCCAGCAGCCGCAGAAGUCUGCCACCCAGAUAGUAGAGGAGGUGCUGAGGCAAACAGAAGAGGCUUCCUCACAUCCAGAGUCGUACCUGGACCUGCCCAAGCAAAUUUCAGCAAAAACUACCAAAAAGAUCCUGAUGCUUCUGUGUGAUGAGUCGGGUUUCCUCAUAGAGAGCAAGUUGCUGAGCCUCCUCCUUCCACUGGAGAAGACCGAGUGCUAUCUGCUGAGGUUGGACGCCAUCUUCUCAGCCCUUGGAAUCGAAAGUGAGGAUGACUUGUACAAACUGGUGAACUUCUUCCUCAAAUACCAAGCCCACCACGGAUCCCCCAGCCAGGUGAACCCCAGGGAUGGAGCAGGAACGGAGCAGUCGAGCCUCGUGUCAGGGGUGGAGAGACUGAGCAUGAGGACAGCAGUGGAGCAGAGCAGCCUCUCAUCUGCCGUCCCAAGAGCCAGCCUGGCGCCUGGGUCGCAGCCAGCAGAGGAGACCUGGCUGGAGGAAGGAGAUGGCGGGGAGCAGGAGGAGCAGGCAGCCCCAGCUUCUCCCAGGCUCAUCCACCCCAAUGACGUCCUCAAGGUUCUGGAGGCCUUCAUCACGGGUCUGAGGAAACCCAGCAAAUGUUUAUUGGGGUCUGCCGUGUGUAGGCACCGUGAAGAGAGCACCUUGUGAUCAGAACAGUGGUGGAAGCCUGCGUGAGGUGUAAUGUCCUAACAGGAUGCGAAGGAAGUGCCGCCUCCGUUUGGCUCUCGGCAAGGGUAUAGGGAGGACAUGGCCCAGGAAUUGUAUGUUCUUAGGUGGGAAGGGGCCUUUCCAGACAUGAGCGCAGGGAAUUUCUUGACAGGAAGGAUGGCCUCAUGUCAUGGGUCUAGGAGGUAGGACCCAUGGGCGGGGACCAGGUCAGAGCUUGGAGACUCUGCCCUGUCUGCCUGUGGUCUUGGUCUUUGUCUUUGCCCUCCUGGCUGGAGCCAGGGGAGGAUUUUCAAGGGAGGAGGAACCAUGAUCUAACGUGCAUUUUAGAAGAAGCCCUUUGAGGGCAGGGAGGGGAGCAGCGCUGGCUACAAGGAGAGCAAGCAAGAGGCUUGUCAGGUGGGAGGGUUAAGGGCAUCAUAGAGUGGAUGGGGAGAAGGUGAGAAAAUUCGGCAGCUGCUUUGGAAGUUCUCAGGAAGAAAGGGAAGUGAUAAUGAGCUGUUGAGCCAUCAAGGUUGUGGAGGAGACUCCAACAGUGUGUUACAAAGGCGACAGGUGGCCUGAGAGGAACAGGGACAAUCAAGGCAAGCUUUCGGAGCAUCUGCCACGAUCUAAUGGAUAGCCUCGGACAGCUGAGUGGGAAUUUGGCAGGCGGAGAGCCAGAACUUCCGGGCACCGCUGACAGUGGGGGAGGAUGUGCGAGAUGACUCGAAGGACUCCGAGUACUGGGAGGCCCUGAGCACGGUCCUCCCUCCUGCCAGGCAGAACCUGUGGGACGCGCUCUACGCAGCCCUGGAGCGAUACAACCUCGUCCUGACCCAGCGG